GACACUCGUAUUCGUGUUUCGGCAUGAACGCUUGCCGGAGUGCAUCUCCGAUUAUCGCCAUUGUUUUCAACAGCCGUAUAAAGGCAUAUAAGCGUAUGUAUGAAGAAUUAAGAGGUGAAAUUAAGGGUUUGGAGAGCUGACAGAAGAAAAUUAUGGAAUCGGAAGGGGGAAAAUGGAAGUCCUAGGUGGUGGGUUGGGUGGUAUGUUCAAAGUUAGUUUGUUGCUUUACCAGCUUUCUCAGAUCAGCUCCGUCACGCAUAUAUUUCCAUUUUAUAAUUUUUGUAUUUAUUGUUAUGGAAUAUUGGAAGGAUCCUC
rnacentral:lncRNA from 1 species